UACGAAGGGGGCUAGCGUUGCUCGGAAUCACUGGGCGUAAAGCGCACGUAGGCGGAUUGUUAAGUCAGGGGUGAAAUCCUGGAGCUCAACUCCAGAACUGCCUUUGAUACUGGCGAUCUCGAGUCCGGGAGAGGUGAGUGGAACUGCGAGUGUAGAGGUGAAAUUCGUAGAUAUCAAGAGGAACACCUGAGGUGAAGACGGGUUGCUGGGCUGACACUGACGCUGAGGCGCGAAAGCCAGGGGAGCAAACGGG
rnacentral:rRNA from 1 species